rnacentral:tRNA from 1 species
GCCCCAGUAGCUCAAUGGAUAGAGCGGCUGACUUCGGAUCAGUAGGUUGUGGGUUCGACUCCUGCCUGGGGCG